UGUUUUUGUUUAGGGUCUUGGCUUGCUUUCAUUUGAGACACAGGAGAAGAAAGGCCGAAGGAAGUGGAAUGAGGUCAGAGCAGUAAUUGGUGUAAGGAAUGGCUCCUCCAGCCCUCUGAAAUGGGCCUUCGCAGGUCAGCCUGGAGAUGGAGGGCAGCACGAAAUCUGGAAGACUCCUUGGCAUGUUUGCAUGCAGGAAGAGCCUGACUGGUGAAUGGGCUGCAAAAUGAAGCGAUGGUCCAGAAUGACUAAGGAGAAGCUUGGUUCCCUCACAUGGGUGUGGUGUGAAGAUUUGCUCAAAGCCAAAAGUAAGUGAUAAAAUAGUCUCUAAAAGGAUCCUUUUAUGUCUAAGACUCUAGAAUUCUGUGAUUAUAGGAUAUGGAAUAGAAAUUAAUGCAGUAUGUUUCACAUAAAUGAGCAGAUCUAGGAUUAGAAGUAUGUCAUAAUUUGAAGACAACCCCGAAUUUAUUUUUAGGCUACAUGAAUCUUUCAAGGUCUCUGAUUUUUUAAACAACCCACUCUAGCUAGUUUAAGAAAAAAAACUCCCC
ensembl:lncRNA